rnacentral:rRNA from 1 species
UACGUAGGGUGCGAGCGUUACUCGGAAUUACUGGGCGUAAAGAGCGCGCAGGCGGUCGUUCAAGUCGCGUGUGAAAGCCCCCGGCUCAACUGGGGAGGGUCACGCGAUACUGAUCGACUCGAAGGCAGGAGAGGGUAGUGGAAUUCCCGGUGUAGUGGUGAAAUGCGUAGAUAUCGAGAGGAACACCGGUGGCGAAGGCGGCCAACUGGACAGAUACUGACGCUGAGACACGAAAGCGUGGGGAGCAAACAGG